rnacentral:rRNA from 1 species
CAGUCGUACCGGCGGAUAAUCAACCUUUCGGGUGCGAUUCUGUGGGGCGUGAAGAGUUUAACCGCCUUCAUGUUUUGCAUAUUCGUGCACAUUUGGUGUACUUGUCCGUGUGGUGGGUUAACAUCAAUUUCGGACGUCAUAAAAUGAUUGGAGGAAUGUAGCUUUGAUCUCGUAUUGAAGUGUUAUAGCCUUCGGCAGAUGUGAUGAUCGAGAUUGAGGAUUGCAACGGAUACCCUUCGGGGCUACCUGUCUGAUCUCUGAUCGUUGCUCUGGUACCGUAAAGCGUGCUUACGGUUAUCAAAGUCGAUGGUCAACAGGUUAGAACGGUUAAAUUCGUUAAGGAUGUU